AACGUAGGGUGCAAGCGUUGUCCGGAAUUAUUGGGCGUAAAGAGCUCGUAGGCGGUUUGUCGCGUCUGCUGUGAAAACCCGAGGCUCAACCUCGGGCCUGCAGUGGGUACGGGCAGACUAGAGUGCGGUAGGGGAGAUUGGAAUUCCUGGUGUAGCGGUGGAAUGCGCAGAUAUCAGGAGGAACACCGAUGGCGAAGGCAGAUCUCUGGGCCGUAACUGACGCUGAGGAGCGAAAGCGUGGGGAGCGAACAGG
rnacentral:rRNA from 1 species